CGAUGUCCUAUCAUUCUUGAUGGUUCAGGAAGCUGCUGGGACACAGGACAGACCCCUCUACAAUGGAAACAAGGUCUGCAUCAUCAGCUUCAGAUGUGUUCUUGGAGCCAUGACCGAAGGGUUCACCUCGAGUUGGGGACUUUCUGGAAGUUAAUCCGCGAGGGACCUCCAGGAGAAGCCUCGAAGCACCCAUUCAGGCACCCUCCUCUGGCUUCAAGAUCUCCUGGAGGGAAAACUGAGCCAUACCAUUCCUGGGAGAGGAGAUCCAAGCGGGCCAGAAGAGGGAAGAGUGAUCCAGAUCUAACAUUUGAAGGCGAGCCACAUCUCGUCCUUUGCGUUCUCCAUGGAACCUUCAAGUGCCAAAACACCGAGGAAGGGUGCUGUGGCUUGGUGACUGUGUGUCACUAUGGAUACUGUGGCAUAAGGAGAUGGCUCUGGCCAUUUGCCUUUGAAGAUGAAGCUUGCCUUCUCCAGAUGAUUUUCUCUUUCCUUCAAGGUCACACGGGGAGGAAGGGGAUUUCUUAUUGCUGCUUCUUCCUCCCUGCUCUGCCUACCACGAGCCACCCAGCCACGUUAGGUCUGAAGACCCAUCAAGGGACAGGAGCCCCCCCCCCCCC